AUUGAACGCUGGCGGCAGGCCUAACACAUGCAAGUCGAACGAGUGGCGGACGGGUGAGUAAUGUCUGGGAAACUGCCUGAUGGAGGGGGAUAACUACUGGAAACGGUAGCUAAUACCGCAUACCAUCGGAUGUGCCCAGAUGGGAUUAGCUAGUAGGUGGGGUAAAGGCUCACCUAGGCGACGAUCCCUAGCUGGUCUGAGAGGAUGACCAGCCACACUGGAACUGAGAAGCGGUCACGACGCCUACGGGAGGCAGCAGUGUGGAAUAGGGCACAAUGGGCGAAAGCCUGAUGCAGCCAUGCCGCGUGUAUGAAGAAGGCCUUCGUGUUGUAAAGUACUUUCCGCGGGGAGGCGUUACCCGCAGAAGAAGCACCGGCUAACUCCGUGCCAGCAGCCGCGGUAAUAC
rnacentral:rRNA from 1 species